rnacentral:rRNA from 1 species
UGCCAGACUCCUACGGGAGGCAGCAGUGGGGAAUAUUGGGCAAUGGGCGCAAGCCUGACCCAGCAACGCCGCGUGAAGGAAGAAGGCUUUCGGGUUGUAAACUUCUUUUAUUGAGGACGAAACAAAUGACGGUACUCAAUGAAUAAGCCACGGCUAACUGCGUGCUAGCAGCCGCGGUAAUACGUAGGUGGCAAGCGUUAUCCGGAUUUACUGGGUGUAAAGGGCGUGUAGGCGGGACUGCAAGUUGGGUGUCAAAUCUACCGGCUCAACCGGUAGCCGCACUCAAAACUGCAGUUCUUGAGUGAAGUAGAGGCAGGCGGAAUUCCUAGUGUAGCGGUGAAAUGCGUAGAUAUUAGGAGGAACACCAGUGGCGAAGGCGGCCUGCUGGGCUUUUACUGACGCUGAGGCUCGAAAGUGUGGGGAGCAAACAGGAUUAGAUACCCGCGUA